rnacentral:misc_RNA from 1 species
ACAAAUUCCAAAACUCGUCUUCCGGACGUCUCCGUGUCGAUCUUCUCCCUGAGGGAAGGCCAGCCUGGAUCGUCCGGAUUACACUUACAUUUACUUUACUGGACAACCACAGGUAAUCAAACCAAGGAUAAACCAAUGGUAAAAA